UACGAAGGGGGCUAGCGUUGUUCGGAAUCACUGGGCGUAAAGCGCACGUAGGCGGACUUUCAAGUCAGGGGUGAAAUCCCGGGGCUCAACCUCGGAAUUGCCUUUGAUACUGUAAGUCUCGAGUCCGGAAGAGGUGGGUGGAAUUCCUAGUGUAGAGGUGAAAUUCGUAGAUAUUAGGAAGAACACCGGUGGCGAAGGCGGCCCACUGGUCCGGUACUGACGGCUGAGGUGCGAAAGCGUGGGGAGCAAACAGG
rnacentral:rRNA from 1 species